rnacentral:rRNA from 1 species
AUUGCCUACGGGGGGCAGCAGUGGGGAAUAUUGGACAAUAGGGGGAACCCUGAUCCAGCGACGCCGCAUGAGUGAAGAAGUAUUUCGGUAUGUAAAGCUCUAUCAGCAGGGAAGAAAGAGAUGGCGGUACCUGACUAAGAAGCCCCGGCUAACUACGUGCCAGCAGCCGCGGUAAUACGUAGGGGGCAAGCGUUAUCCGGAUUUACUGGGUGUAAAGGGAGCGUAGACGGCGAUGCAAGUCUGAAGUGAAAGACGGGGGCCCAACCCCCGGACUGCUUUGGAAACUGUAUAGCUGGAGUGCAGGG